CUGAGUGAUUCCCACCCCCUCUCCCCAUCCUCUAUUCUACACCCAAAACAAAUUCUUGUUCUAGGGAGUACUGCAGCUAAUACUAAGAAGAGAGCUGCUGCUGCAUCUGCCACUAGAGAGGAUGGCAAAGUAAUAGCCAGAGAGCUAGAGAAGAUGUGGGUGGAUAGAAGAGGUACAAGUCGCCAUAAGACUGCCUUGUUGAUGAGUACAAAAUAUUAGACUGCCCACACACUGUUACCAGUUCACUCUUUGUCAGGAAGAUAACCCCCCAGAAUAAAAUGAAUGAAAUUAGCAGUCUUUACUAUGUGCCUGUAGGCCAGUGGAUAUUUCCAAACUGUCUCAGGGAUAUAAGAAGCUUUCUUACUGUCAGCAAUGAAACAGGGUUCUCUGUAAACAUUGGGGAAAGGAAGUCUGUGAAAGCAGAGUGGGCAAGGUUCUUUUGGCUGGAGUUGUGAGAUGGUAUUUACCUUACUCAUACUGUCAAUAAAAUGACAUUUUAGAAUGCUAUUUAUUUACUAGGAUUAAAAGAGCAAAAGGUUACUGGGAUAUACAGGAAGGGUUCUAACUUCCCUUGGAUCGUGACAUUAUCCUAGCAUUCCCAUUUAAAACCUAUCCUACUUUGGGAUAUAGCUGUUCUCAGAUCACUAAGAUGAAAGAUGGAUCAAACAUGUUCCAAAAAACAUACCCCAAAUCCUAAGGGGGUCUUGUCUGCAGUUUGCCCUCCAUUCCUCCUGCUGACAACAAUCAGCCCAGGCCCUGCACCCCCGUGAGAGAAGCUAUCUCCCUGAUGCAUCAGUCUCCACAAUGCUGAAGUUCUUCCAGGACCCAACAUCCCUCAGUAAGAUGAGAACAAGACAGUGCCUGUAAUCGCUGAGGGCACUCUUUCAUAAAGGUACGUUAUUACUGAUCAUUGCUGUUACCCACAGUAUUAUAAAUACUCAGUACUAGAAGAACAGUCUCGAGGACUUCAGGCCUAAAGCUAGUUGUAUACAUAGCUUCCCUUUAGUUCCAAUUCUGGGCUCCUCACUCAGCAUGUGUUCAAAUUGAAACGAGUCCCUGAAACAGCCCAAGUAUUACUUGCGCCACCUGUCUGUUGCCCAUUCCCAUCCAGGGAUCUCCAAGCACCAGCUUAGCCUCUGGCUCCACCUAAUGGCAACAUAUUCCUUUUUCCCAUUUCACAGGUGGGCAAACUGAGCUCCAGGGAUUCUCUUCCCCACCAAAGUCAUUCAAAAAAGAAGAAGAAGAGCUCAAAGGCUAGACUGCUGAUCUUUAAUUACAAUUCCCAAAUCAUAUCUCUUUUCCUCUCCCCUCUUCUCUCAGCCCCCAAAGAGAUAAUUUGACAAUGUUAACAGUUUUAAUUUCUCCAGAUCAUUUGCUGCUAAGGAGCUAAAAGUAUUUCACACAUGAUGUCAGGAAUCCUCCUCUCUGGUUACUAGUUGACCUGAGGGCACGAAGGAGAUGUUAGGCUCACCUUUAAAUCCGGAGGCUUGCUUCGAGGACCAGGGUUGGGGGCCAUGGCAACACCCACAUCUGGAGUCGCUGGAGCCACGGCAGG